UGGGGUGCAGCACAGUGGUAAAGCCCUUGGCUAGCAUGCAGGAGGCCCUGGGUUCCGUUCCCAGCACCACAA
rnacentral:tRNA from 1 species